rnacentral:lncRNA from 1 species
AAUUUUUAAAACUUUCUUAAAUAUGCAUAUAAUACAAUAAUUUUGUUCACUUUAUGUUCUUCUUCCAGAGUUCUAACUUGGAAAAAUGAACUGCUCAAGAUCUCAGGACCUAUGACUGAUAUAUAUGUACAGAAUUAAGAGAGUUUUAAAGCUGGAGUGCAGGGAUGUGGCCUUGGUUGACUACAAACUCUGCCUCAUGGAUUCAAGAGAUUUUCCUGCUUCAGCCUCCCAAGUGGUGUUGGAGAUCUCUGCUAACAGAGACCAAUGCUGGCAAGGAGAACAAGGAAGAGCAGGAAUGAUGGACUAAUUCUGGUGCCUUCUGCCCUAGGGGCUGCUUCUCAUAACAACAGUCACUGCAACACUCUGACUCACCUGUUCCUGUUCCUUCAGGAGUGGUUGCUGUUGUUAUAAUCUGGGGACUUUUGCAGGUCUCUCUAUUCUAUGCCCUUGAUAUAGUUUGGCUGUGUCCUCAUCUAAAAUAUCAUCUUGAAUUAUAAUCCCCAUAAUCCCCACGUGUCAAGGGAGAGACCAGGUGGAGGAAAUUGAAUCAUGGGGCAGGUUUACCCCAUGCCAUUCUUGUGAUAGUGAGUUCUCAUGAGAUCUGAUGGUUUUAUAAGCAUUUGGUAGUUCCUCCUGCAUUCAUUCUCCUCCCUGCUGCCUUGUGAAGAAGUUACCUUUCUUCCCCUUCACCUUCUGCCAUGAUUGUAAGUUUCCUGAGGCCACCCUAGCCAUGCUGAACUGUGAGUCAAGUAAACUUCUUUCCUUUAUAAAUUACCCAGUUUUGGGCAGUUUUUUAUAGCGGUGUGAAAAUGGACUAAUACAGCCCUAUACUCUAAUAUCAUUUCAAUAAUUUUAUUCCCUGCUCUAAGUAGCCAGUUGCUUUCUACUGCCUAUAAUUAAGUACCUUGAUGAUAUAUUAAGUGUUACAAGAUAGGCUUAAAAAUAAAUAAGUAUAAAAUAGAAUAUAUUUGUUAUCCCUGCUACUUCAACAAUGUUUUUGUUUUGUCCUUAAUUUCUGUGGAUCUUACUAAGUUGAGUUUUUUACAAAAUUCUCAGUUGAGUUUUCUUUUCUUCCUCACCUUGUAACUUAUAACUAAGGAUGAUAAUAGCAGUUAAGAUUCCUGAUGUUUGUACUCUGAUACCUCAUAUGGAAAAUAUCGUGAAGAGUCUUUUGUUCUUACAUCACUCAAACGAUGCAGAGUUUCCUUGAGAGAUACCCAAAUAUCAUUUGCUUAGCUUUUACAAUUCUGCUAAAAUGUACUACUAAAAAAAAUCACUGAAAACUUAAUUGUUUUCUGAUUUUUUAGUGAAUAAGUAAAAGAAUAAGCUUAGUAAGAGCCAGAAUUGCUCUUGAAAGGCUCAUAAAAUGUAUGAAGGCUACACAUCUCCCCUUAAUCUUGAUUUGGUUAAGUGAGUUUUCAUGCAGCAAGUCAGUCACUCAAACCAGUUAUUCCUCACCCUAUUACAUCUUCUAAAUUCAUCUGUCAUGGUAUACUAUCUAGUAAAUAUGUUAUUUUCUCCAAAUCAUCUCCCCAGUCUACUUCCCUAGUCCAAACUUUCAUUGCUACUCCUUUUACUUUUAUUGGUUGCAGUAGAAAGCUGCCAUAGGAUUUUGUAGGCUUGAAAAAGACUCUGAUUACUGAUAUUUCUUUUGGUUCAACUUUACGUCACAAAGAAGGCAGUUUUUAAAAGUUAACUGAAAAGAGCACAGAUAAAUUUAUCAACAGAUACUGAAUAAAAAAAAAACCCAUACUUUGUUUUACCUGUUAUUUACAGAGAGUAGCGUAGAGGGAUAGUAUGUUUUAAUAGGCACCUCAGAUUUUCAGAAAGCUGUUGACAAUGGGCUAUUUCCAGGAGAAGACAGAUUAGAAAUGGAAUUUCUAGAACAUUAACUGUAUGGGACCCUAGACACCUAAGUAACUGAUUUGGACUUGGGAAGAAGUUCACCAUUGUGAAGUGCAACAGGCUGGCAUAACUCAGUCAGUAUAAGCAGAAGUAAUAUGCUGGGUAUUUUUUCUCUGUCCUUUCAUAGCUACUCUCCAUUGUUUGUAUCCAUGCUCUGUGAAUUAUAGGCACAAAUCACCUCUAGUUCUGCAUCAGUGGGUUCCUCUUCUUUAGCUUCUCAUUGGGCAUGGCCAAUGAAGGACACAGGCAAAGGAUUCACAGGUAGCAAUACAGUGAGAUCGGAGUAUUUAUUCACCAGGUUUUGUCCUGGCAGGUAGCCAAAACAUUGCCUCUGUCUGUCUCCUAUGGCUUCUCUUUUUGCCUCUUCAGUCUGAAGGGUGGUUGCAGACACACAGUUACUGGCCCCAAGCACUACACUAUACCUUGCCUCUUUCUUUUACUCCUACCUACUCUUUCUAAAUAGUUUUACUCCUAUUUAUAAAUUAUUCCUCUCCCCAACUCCUUCAUCUGAGUAGUAUGUCUUCUGUUUCCUGUUGGGACUAUGGCUAGUGUAGGAGAUACCUAAAUUAUUCAAUAACCUGUAAGGCAUGAGCAACAGCUAAUUGGAAAGGUUGCAGAUGUAAACGACCAGUAAGGCAGCACCAGUGCAUACUGUGUAAACAUCAGUGCUGGCCAUGGAAUGUGGAGCAAAUAUUUUAUAAGUAAUGGUAAGCAAUGUGUCAAAAUUUACAAAUUAGAAAUGUAAGUGAGUUAAAGAGAGAGCCUGGAGGGUGUGCAAGCAUGGCAAUUGCACAGUCCAGACUUAGUUGCACAUGUCCUUCCAUUUAGUAAAACCGAGGUGGACUUUUAGCCCACCUCAUUCUUCUAAGACUGGGAAAACAAAUACUCUAGACUUUUCUCCUAGUUUAGGGUCCUAAUUUUACUGAUCAAGUCAUCUUGUUCUUAUAUCCAAAAAUAAAUUCUACUUUUAUGAAAAUAGAAAACAUUUUCAAGCAUGUAGAAUUACAUGAUUAUAACUUUGUAGACCCUUAAAUGAAAUACAUCUGAGGUAUUUAUUAACUUACCCAGUAUAUCUUCCUCUUUCCAUACAAUAGGUUUUCCAUUUGAUUAAUGCUUCCGAUCAGAUAGCAUUCCAUCUUCUCUGCUGGUGAACUGUUCACAACACCCAGUACAGCUAUUGCCAUGUCUGAGAAUCUUUCCUGGAAAUCACCAGGCAGAAUUGAUCACUAUUCUCUUUGCUUGAAAGCACUUUUCACUCUGUAUCGUGAUUAAUAGUGCGUGUUUCUGUCACCAUUGCAAGAUUUUGAUCGCCUUGAAAACGGUGAUCAAAUGUUUUUCAUCCUUAUCACUUUAGGGCUUACCACACUGUACAUGAUAGAACUGAUAAACGUCUGUUGACCUGAACUUAAUGAAUUUGGUUCCUGCAGAUUCCGCGGCAAGCACACGGCAGAGCCCGAAUUCAAACCCAGUUUUGUUCUCAGUCCUCCAUCCAAGCUCUUAUCCACAAUAAUGUGCUGUGUUUCUUAAUCAUUUCACGGGGGUUUUGCUCUGAUACAUGCAAGAUUUUUUUUAAUGUUAAAUUUGCCUUAUCAUUUCAGGAAGUCGGUGAUUCUUAUGUGGAUUUUAACAUCUAAUUUACAUGUGCAUUGAUUAGUUUUGUGUUCUUUAUACCAUAAAUCAGAGUAAGAAAAAAAGUUUCAAAACCUGUCAUUGAAAACAUAAUUUUCAAAAAGCUUUAUUCCUAUUUUCUUUCAUGGCAGGGAGCAAGAGCGAAAUGAG